CCUGCUGCGGGACAGCACCCCGGGGCUGGGGGACACGGUGGGGGGCUGCCCUGCUCCCCCAGGCCAGCGAGCGCGCAGGCACCAGGACCCUGCGGAUGCCCCGCGCCGCCACACGCAGCCUCGCGGCCCUUUGUCCGUGACGCGGCGUGACGAGGCGUGACGCGCUGCGGUGCGACGUCUCCCCACACGGCCACCCCCUUCCCCUUCCGCCACCACCAGCCAUGCCCCCCGAGCCCCGCCAGAGGGUCCGGCCCCCCGCCACCGCCAGCCCCCCCGGUGUCCCGGCACCCUCCGGUCCGUCCUGCCAAGGAGCCCCGUGCGGGCGCACACGCAUACGACACGCGUGCUCCUGUCCCGGUCUCACACGCGUGUGCAGUGCAGCGAUGCUGGCAGGCUGCCUGCCACGCAUGUGCGGGGGUCUCAGCUGUCCCCAGGUAUCCCCCCACCCCCGCUGUGCCCCAGCCCCCGCUGCCAUCCCACUGCCCGUGAGCUGGGACACCAGGACCAGCCCACCCAGGGGACGCCCCACCGGACCCCCUCUCCGGGCAGCCCCAGUGCUCCCCAUGUGCUGGAGGGGCACCAGGACCAACCCACCAACCCAGGGGACACCCCACCGGACCCCCCCUCCGGGCAGCCCCAGUGCUCCCCGUAUGCUGGAGGGGCACCAGGAUGAGCCCACCCAGGGGACACCCCACCGGACCCCUUGCUCUGGGCAGCCCCAGUGCUCCCCGUGUGCUCAGGGGGCUGGGUGCCACAGGGCCUUGGUGGCAGGAGGUGGCCCCGGUGGGGUGCCUCGCGUGGGACCCCCCCCAGGCGGACCCCCCUGUAACACCCCUACCAGGCCAGCCCCGCUGCCUCCGUCAAUCAGCACUGGCCCCGCUCCCGGAGGUGGCGAAGAUGGAGGCCCCCAAGCUGCUCCGCGCCUGGGUGCUGGCAGUCAUGGCCCUGGGGGAGUCCCAGGCCACCCUCCCCAACCACCACGUCCUCCCCAACCACCGCGUCUCCUCCGAGACCGGAGCCAUCUUCGUCCAUGAGCUGGAGCGGGAGCUGUUCCAGGAUGCCUUCCUCACUGGGCACGAGGAUGAUGGCGCUGCCCCCAUCACCUUCCAAGCCCACCUCCAGGACCACCCUGACCUGCCGCGGUGGCUGCGGUACAUCCAGCGCGACCCCCACCAGCCGGGCUACCUCUAUGGCUGUCCCAUGGCCACGGAGGUGGGCACCCACACCAUCGAGGUGCUGGCAUACAACCGGCACACCUACGAGACAGCGGCACAGCACCUCGUCAUCACCAUCUUUCCUGCUCCAGGUGGGGAGCCGCCGUACCAGGGCGAGUUCCUGGUGGGGAACAGGAACGUGGAGGAGCUGCUGCCAGUGGCCAUGCGGGACAUCUUCCUCCAGGCCACGGCCGGCGUCUGGGAGCGGGAUGACCUCCAUGUCAUCAAUGUCACCUCCACGCUGGACCGGGGUGGCCGCGUGCCCCUGCCCAUCGAGGGGCGCAAGGAGGGGGUGUACGUGAAGGUGGGCUCCCAUGGUGCCUUCUCAUCGUGCCUGGCAGCGGCCACCUCACCACAGAGCCGGUUCCGCUGCAGCCUGGGCCAGCAGCCCCUCGCCUCCUGCUACGACACCUUCGCCCCCCACUUCACCAUCCGCUGGUGCAACCUCACCUUGCUGCAGGUCUGGCCCAGCCCAACAGCGCUGGGGCCCGUGUGGGGUUCUGGGGUGCUGGAGGAGGGUGGGGAUUUCCAGCCCCCCACCGAGGUGCCCCCCCAGGACCUGCUGCCUGGGUACCUGGUGACGCUGCUGGUGCCGCUGGCGGUGGCCGCACUGCUCUGCCUGCUCCUGGGCCACCUCAUGUGCUGCCGCAGGGAGGGAGUGCAAAAACGGGACUUGGAGACGUCUGACAUCCAGCUGGUCCACCACACCACCAUCCACGGUGACACGGAGGAGCUGAGGCACAUGGCUCGCAGCCGGGAUGUCCCACGGCCCCUUUCCACCCUUCCCAUGUUCAACAUCCGCACAGGUCAACGCAUCAACCCCAUGCCUGGUCCCCCGGAUGGUGCCUGUGUCCCCCUCCUCCGCAGUGAGCCAGGCUGGUGGGUGACACCAGGAUGAUGGCAGGGUGGUGGGUGACACCAGGAUGAUGGCAGGGUGGGAGGGCAAUCCCAGGGGUGGGUAUGAGCAAAGGGGUGUCAUGAUGCUUUUGGGGGCACUUUGCAGGGGUCAAAAGCCCAGCAGCAGGCAGAACCCAGCCGAGUCAAGGAUCUGCCUGCCCAGCAGGGCCCUGCCUGCCACCCAGUUAUUGCCUGGAGCAUUUUGGGGGGAUUAUCAGCACCUGGGGGGGUCAUCAGGAUCCACCCUGCAUCAGUGGGACAACACAGAACACAUGCAUCCCAGCCCCUUCCUCUCCAGCCUCCCCUGCCCCGCUUGGCCUGAUGAAAUCCUUAAAUAAGAGCUGUAGAAGCACUAGAGCUCUUCUGCUUUUUGGCUGGGGGAGGAGGGAGUACACUGUUUUCUUUCUGUUUUCCAGGUGAGGGGGAGGCUGUGUUGGUUUUGUCUUCCCAGGGGUGACACCACCCCCCAAGGUCCCUGCUGUGGGAUGGGGGCUGUGGGGUGGGUUUUGGCUGAUAAAGUGGCUGUUUAGUG